AACACAUGCAAGUCGAGGGGUAUAGGUUUGCGGACCUAGAGACCGGCGCACGGGUGCGUAACGCGUAUGCAAUCUACCUUUUACAGAGGGAUAGCCCAGAGAAAUUUGGAUUAAUACCUCAUAGUAUUAUUGAAUGGCAUCAUUUAAUAAUUAAAGUCACAACGGUAAAAGAUGAGCAUGCGUCCCAUUAGCUAGUUGGUAAGGUAACGGCUUACCAAGGCAACGAUGGGUAGGGGUCCUGAGAGGGAGAUCCCCCACACUGGUACUGAGACACGGGCCAGACUCCUACGGGAGGCAGCAGUGAGGAAUAUUGGUCAAUGGGCGCAAGCCUGAACCAGCCAUGCCGCGUGCAGGAUGACGGUCCUAUGGAUUGUAAACUGCUUUUGUACAGGAAGAGACAGUUCUACGCGUAGAACCUUGACGGUACUGUAAGAAUAAGGAUCGGCUAACUCCGUGCCAGCAGCCGCGGUAAUACGGAGGAUCCAAGCGUUAUCCGGAAUCAUUGGGUUUAAAGGGUCCGUAGGC
rnacentral:rRNA from 1 species